ACAGCAGGCCACCUUAUCGUCUUGUUUUAUAAAUAAAGCAGGGAGGAAAGUCCGAGCACCAUAGGGAAGCAUAGCGGCUAACAGCCGUCGUCAUGUUAUAUAUAUGAAAGGACCAGUGCAACAGAAAGAAUGUACAGAUAAUGCUGUAGUGAAACCAGGUAAACUCUAUGCGGUGAAAUGUCACGUAAACCUGUGCUUAAGGGUUCCCGCCCGAUGCAGGAGGGUAGGCAGAUAGAGUAUUUCGGUAACGAAAUAUCCAGAUAAAUGAUAAGGCUUUUAGUGUUCUAAAAGACAGAACUCGGCUUAUAGGCCUGCUUUUUUA
rnacentral:RNase_P_RNA from 2 species